rnacentral:tRNA from 1 species
GCCUCGUUAGUGCAAUAGGUAGUGUGUCGGUCUCAUAAUCUGAAGGUUGUGAGUUCGAUCCUCACAUGGGACA